CCUAACCAAUUUGAAAGUUGGUCAAAAGGAGGAAAAAUGGUUUUCUGCAUGGAUACAGUCGAAAGAACCAUUUUUACUGUCGUUCCAAUUGAAGUGUUCAUCAAAUAUUGAUUCAAUACAUUACCUCGGGCUGACCAAUUCAUUUGAUCAAGUUCCUCGAAAUAUUCAUACACUUCCUAGUAUAAUUGUAAACUUUCUGUUGAAUAGUUUGAAUGCACCAAUCACCUUUGUUGUUUGUGCAACUAACCAAUCAUAAAUAGAAAGGAAGUGACCAGAAAUGAUCAAAUUCUUGGAAUUGGCGC